rnacentral:rRNA from 1 species
AAUAAUUAGAAAUAUGUAGUGUAAGCGGUGAAAUGCUUAGAUAUUACAUGGAAUACCAAUUGCGAAGGCAGGUUAUCUAACAAAUGAUUGACGCUGAUGGACGAAAGCGUGGGUAGCGAACAGGAUUAGAUACCCUGGUAGUCCACGCCGUAAACGAUGGAUACUAGCUGUUUGGUCGUAAGACUGAGUGGCUAAGCGAAAGUGAUAAGUAUCCCACCUGGGGAGUACGUUCGCAAGAAUGAAACUCAAAGGAAUUGACGGGGGCCCGCACAAGCGGUGGAGCAUGUGGUUUAAUUCGAUGAUACGCGAGGAACCUUACCAGGGCUUAAAUGUAGUCUGACAGGCGUGGAAACAUGCUUUUCUUCGGACAGAUUACAAGGUGCUGCAUGGUUGUCGUCAGCUCGUGCCGUGAGGUGUCAGGUUAAGUCCUAUAACGAGCGCAACCCCUGUUGUUAGUUGCCAGCGAGUAAUGUCGGGAACUCUAACAAGACUGCCGGUGCAAACCGUGAGGAAGGUGGGGAUGACGUCAAAUCAUCACGGCCCUUACGUCCUGGGCCACACACGUGCUACAAUGGCCGGUACAGAGAGCAGCCACUUAGCGAUAAGGAGCGAAUCUAUAAAGCCGGUCACAGUUCGGAUUGGAGUCUGCAACUCGACUCUAUGAAGCUGGAAUCGCUAGUAAUCGGAUAUACAGCCAUGAUCCGGUGAAUACGUUCCCGGGCCUUGUACACACCGCCCGU